rnacentral:rRNA from 1 species
AGAUUGAACGCUGGCGGCAGGCCUAACACAUGCAAGUCGAGCGGCAGCACGGGUACUUGUACCUGGUGGCGAGCGGCGGACGGGUGAGUAAUGCCUAGGAAUCUGCCUGGUAGUGGGGGAUAACGCUCGGAAACGGACGCUAAUACCGCAUACGUCCUACGGGAGAAAGCAGGGGACCUUCGGGCCUUGCGCUAUCAGAUGAGCCUAGGUCGGAUUAGCUAGUUGGUGAGGUAAUGGCUCACCAAGGCGACGAUCCGUAACUGGUCUGAGAGGAUGAUCAGCCACACUGGGACUGAGACACGGCCAGACUCCGUAGGGAGCAGCAGUAGGAAUAGUGGACAAGUGGGACAAAGCCGUAGGUCCAGACAAGUCGACCGCGGUAGAGUGAGUAGAA